rnacentral:tRNA from 2 species
GGCCCCAUCGUCUAGCGGCUUAGGACGCAAGAUUCUCAUUCUUGUAACUCGGGUUCAAAUCCCGAUGGGGCCG